rnacentral:rRNA from 1 species
UGGGGAAUUUUGGACAAUGGGCGAAAGCCUGAUCCAGCAAUGCCGCGUGUGUGAAGAAGGCCUUCGGGUUGUAAAGCACUUUUGUCCGGAAAGAAAUCCUUGGCUCUAAUACAGUCGGGGGAUGACGGUACCGGAAGAAUAAGCACCGGCUAACUACGUGCCAGCAGCCGCGGUAAUACGUAGGGUGCAAGCGUUAAUUGGAAUUACUGGGCGUAAAGCGUGCGCAGGCGGUUUGCUAAGACCGAUGUGAAAUCCCCGGGCUCAACCUGGGAACUGCAUUGGUGACUGGCAGGCUAGAGUAUGGCAGAGGGGGGUAGAAUUCCACGUGUAGCAGUGAAAUGCGUAGAGAUGUGGAGGAAUACCGAUGGCGAAGGCAGCCCCCUGGGCCAAUACUGACGCUCAUGCACGAAAGCGUGGGGAGCAAACAGGAUUAGAUACCCUGGUAGUCCACGCCCUAAACGAUGUCAACUAGUUGUUGGGGAUUCAUUUCCUUAGUAACGUAGCUAACGCGUGAAGUUGACCGCCUGGGGAGUACGGUCGCAAGAUUAAAACUCAAAGGAAUUGACGGGGUCAU